UUAUUACUCCCUCCGACCGGAAUUAGUUGUCGUACAAAUGAAUAAAAAUAGAUGUAUUUAAAACUAAAAUACAUUUAGAUACAUCCAGUCUAUUAACAAGUAUUUUCGGACGGAGGGAGUAUAAU
rfam:Hordeum vulgare subsp. vulgare, WGS project CAJW01000000 data, contig: morex_contig_442171